UAGAAAUGUAUGUGUUCGAUGG
rnacentral:siRNA from 1 species